rnacentral:rRNA from 1 species
AGUCGAGCGGCAGCGACUUAACUGAACCUUCGGGGAACGUUAAGGGCGGCGAGCGGCGGACGGGUGAGUAAUGCCUGGGAAUAUGCCCUGAUGUGGGGGAUAACUAUUGGAAACGAUAGCUAAUACCGCAUAAUCUCUUCGGAGCAAAGAGGGGGACCUUCGGGCCUCUCGCGUCAGGAUUAGCCCAGGUGGGAUUAGCUUGUUGGUGAGGUAAUGGCUCACCAAGGCUACGAUCCCUAGCUGGUCUGAGAGGAUGAUCAGCCACACUGGAACUGAGACACGGUCCAGACUCCUACGGGAGGCAGCAGUGGGGAAUAUUGCACAAUGGGGGAAACCCUGAUGCAGCCAUGCCGCGUGUGUGAAGAAGGCCUUCGGGUUGUAAAGCACUUUCAGUAGGGAGGAAGGUAGUGUAGUUAACACCUGCACUAUUUGACGUUACCUACAGAAGAAGCACCGGCUAACUCCGUGCCAGCAGCCGCGGUAAUACGGAGGGUGCGAGCGUUAAUCGGAAUUACUGGGCGUAAAGCGCAUGCAGGCGGCCUGUUAAGUCAGAUGUGAAAGCCCGGGGCUUAACCUCGGAAUUGCAUUUGAAACUGGCAGGCUAGAGUCUUGUAGAGGGGGGUAGAAUUUCANGUGUAGCGGUGAAAUNCGUAGAGAUCUGAAGGAAUA